rnacentral:rRNA from 1 species
UGACGGCCCUAUGGGUUGUAAACUGCUUUUAUAAGGGAAUAAAGUGAGUCUCGUGAGACUUUUUGCAUGUACCUUAUGAAUAAGGACCGGCUAAUUCCGUGCCAGCAGCCGCGGUAAUACGGAAGGUCCGGGCGUUAUCCGGAUUUAUUGGGUUUAAAGGGAGCGUAGGCCGGAGAUUAAGCGUGUUGUGAAAUGUAGACGCUCAACGUCUGCACUGCAGCGCGAACUGGUUUCCUUGAGUACGCACAAAGUGGGCGGAAUUCGUGGUGUAGCGGUGAAAUGCUUAGAUAUCACGAAGAACUCCGAUUGCGAAGGCAGCUCACUGGAGCGCAACUGACGCUGAAGCUCGAAAGUGCGGGUAUCGAACAGGAUUAGAUACCCUGGUAGUCCGCACGGUAAACGAUGGAUGCCCGCUGUUGGUCUGAAUAGGUCAGCGGCCAAGCGAAAGCAUUAAGCAUCCCACCUGGGGAGUACGCCGGCAACGGUGCAACUCAAAGGAAUUGACGGA